GCCGCUGUGGUGGAAUAGGCAGACACAAGGGACUUAAAAUCCCUCGGAGUAACAUCCGUACCGGUUCAAGUCCGGUCAGCGGCACCA
rnacentral:tRNA from 4 species